AACAACAGUAGCUCACACAACCCAAAAAUCGACAACUCACUUUCCGGCCACUCCCAACUUAAACCCAACAUACUGGUAGACUCCCCUCAUUGUGGUGUAUCUACUCAUGGCCACAAAACACCUACUCCACCAACCAGUCAGCAAUUGUAGCCAAAACUCACGCACACAAUCAACACCCAGAUUUUAGAUACAAAUUCCUACGACGAUGGCAAUCACAUGAUCUCGGACCACCCCUGUCAGCACCCUCUCAUCAUGGCGAAGCUAUUCCAUCCAUGGGUCUUCAUCAAUUUUGUAUGAAUUCAAGGUAGUUACAAUGCAAAUGGGCUUAGAUCCCCUUUAUUGGGGCUUCAAAACUGAUUCAAUCUUCGAAUCGACAUGAGGGAAUGAUUACUGAAUGCCAAACGAUCAUGGGCAUGCCUUCAAUUCAUCAUUCAAGCCCAAGCACCUAUAUUGAGCAUAUUAAAUCCGGACAAACAAUCGAUGCACUUUUUGGAGUGUG
rnacentral:lncRNA from 1 species